rnacentral:tRNA from 1 species
GCCUGGGUGGCUCAGUGGGUUGAGCAUCUGACUCGUGAUUUGGACUCAGUCUUGAUCGCAGGGUCAUGAGUUCAAGCCCCACCUUGGGCU